ACCAGCUUGAAAUACCGGUUCUCGUACGAUCACCGAAGUUAAGCAACGUCGAACCUGGUCAGUACGGGUGACCGCUUGGGAAUACAAGGUGCUGUAAG
rnacentral:rRNA from 1 species